UACAGAGGUCUCAAGCGUUGUUCGGAUUCAUUGGGCGUAAAGGGUGUGUAGGCGGCUCCGUAAGUCGGGUGUGAAAUUUCGGAGCUUAACUCCGAAACUGCAUUCGAUACUGCGGUGCUUGAGGACUGGAGAGGAGACUGGAAUUCAUGGUGUAGCAGUGAAAUGCGUAGAGAUCAUGAGGAAGACCAGUGGCGAAGGCGGGUCUCUGGACAGUUACUGACACUGAGACACGAAGGCCAGGGGAGCAAACGGG
rnacentral:rRNA from 1 species